rnacentral:lncRNA from 1 species
UAGGUGGCAGAGCAGCCACUCAUUUCAUUCGAAAAAUACCUGAUUGAAUCUUUUGAUUAUAAAAUCCAAUUUAGGUUUAGAUUUUAAUCAUCUUUAAGCCUAAUUUUUUUUAUCUAAUUUUUUAAAUUUUAGGUCUUUUUUUUUUACAGCUGUACUGGGAAAAAAAGUUUAUUUUCUUUUGAUCUGAGCUCUCACUGGUCACACCUUACAGGUGCAACCAAUCCCAGACAAUUAUAGUGUAGAAAUCGUCGCAGCUUGUGAUUGGCCGAUGACAUUUAAGCUGUUCCUAUAUCCGGAAAGCGGCGUAGAUCAAAGGACGUACAUAAAGCAUCGCUGCGCAUGUGCUGCGGUUUCCAGGGGUUGCGCACAAAUAAACGAUGCGUAGAAUUAAAACGGCAGGUUCCGCUGUGUGCGUGGCUGCAGCUCUUCUCCUGAUAUCCUGUUUGCUCCAAACGGCAGAGUGUCUUCGCUUGAGGAAAACGGAGAGACGAGCAGCGCAGCGGGAGCCCGCGCCCCGCACCGAUGCGGGCGUUCAGGAGGGGCAAAUCAUCUUUGGGGAAAUUUCCGAGAAGGUCACAGAUAAUAAAAGCAAGAAAACUUCUAACGCUUCUGCAGACGAUGAAUCGGCUUACCAAGCAGAUUUUCCAGGGUGGUAUAAGGUAAAUAUGGAGGAUCCUGCAUCCAAAGACAAGUGGAAGCAAAUGGCAACAUCCCUGUAUUGUUUUGGGGAUCACAUGAAGUUCAGGUCACUUGGUCCAGGUGCUUCACAGUUUGAAGUCGAGCAAGGUAAAGAAGGAUUCUCAAAGAUUGAUGCAUUGGUAAUAAAGUUUCCCUUAUGAUGGGGUUUUCAUCUUCUAUAGCAAACAAACAGUCCCUACCUCUGUCCAUGGUACCCCAAAAAUGUGGCUACAACAUGCUUGGAAACUCCCUGGCAUUUGUUCUGACUGUUCCUUACAGUGGCUGCCACAUGCGUCAUCAGGUAAGUUUUCUUGAGUAGGCCUAAUUAAAAUUGUUUUUUGUUUUUGUUUGGUUUUUUACAUUUCGAGCUUAAUUUUGAUUUCUUUAUUCAAAUGUUGUGGUCAAACAGUGAUGUA